rnacentral:misc_RNA from 1 species
CCAAUGAAGCCCAGCGCUGGGAAGUGGUCAAGAAGCACUAUUCGGCCAUUAUAUUCGCCAUUCAGUCGGCCACGUCUUCACUUAGAGACGUAACGAAAUUCAUGCCUGUUACGUAAGCCCGAAGUUUUCGCAAAUAAAAGACAUAGUGUAAUUCUAUAUGAUCAUUCGUAUGGAUUUAUGCAUAAAAGACAAAGUGUAAUGAUGAUGAUGUAGAAUCCAUUUGUGUAAUGAUGUAGAAUCAAUUUGUAGUGAUUGUGCAUAAAAGACAGAGUAAUGAU